UUAAAGGGCCGCGGUAUUAGACCGUGCUAAGGUAGCAUAAUCAAUAGUCUUUUAAUUGAAGUCUAGAAUGAAAGGUCGGACGAAAAACUAACUGUCUUGUAGAAAAAAAGAAUUUUACUUUUAAGUGAAAAGGCUUAAAUGGAAUAACGGGACGAUAAGACCCUGUGAAGCUUGAGUAAGUUUGAAAUAAAACUCUGAUUAUUAAGUUAUUGGUAUUUAUUUUUAAUUACGUUUAGCUGGGGCGGCUAGAAUAUAAAUAAUUAACUGUUUGUAGAAAAAAAAUAAAAAUAAUUAGUUAUUUUAUCCUUUAAUAGGGAAAAAAAUAAAAGUUACUCCAGGGAUAACAGCGUAAUUUUUCUUGAGAGUUCUUAUCGACGGAAAUAGUUGCGACCUCGAUGUUGAAUUAAAAUUUCAUUAAGGUGAAGAAGCUUUAAUAGUAGGUCUGUUCGACCUUUAAAAUUUUACGUGAUCUGAGU
rnacentral:rRNA from 1 species